GGUCGGCGUUAGAUCAUAUAGCGUUAACGUACAGUGACGUCAAAAUUCUUAAGACCGGAAGUACUGUGCCAGAAGUGUAAACUUACACGAGUCACAGGGAUUUAAAUUCAAGGACUUCAAGCAGCAGGCGCGAUAAGAAGAUUAUAUCCUCAGGUUUAUAUCGUAUUAUUUAGUUUAAACGCAAUCUUUAAACUCUAGAUUUCGCCACAUUUAGAGAUAUAACUGAAGAUACACUUCUGUUAUAUACUUUACUCGAUCUGAACUCUGAAGACGGUUUUGUAAUGAUAUCACUUGCUGUUUACGAUAAUUGGAGAGAGGUAUGUCACAAAUUUUAAUUCAGUUAAUCCGUUAGGUAUUUUACAGUGAUACAAUUUAUAUUGUUAUCAAAUUCAAGAGUAUAACUAUAAAGCAGUGAAGCCGAAGGUUUUAGAUAAAGACCGAACUGCAAGGUUUGUAUAUGACUUCUAAAAUGACUGAUUUUGUACACUUACUGGCGUUGUAAUUUUGAAUAUUGAUGUUAUCUACGCCAUAAAAAUUAAAGGAGAAAUUUUAAGCGAGUCUACUGUAUAUACCUUACGACCUUACGCAGGGCCUUUUUUAAGGAUUUUCCCGUGGGGGGGCAUUUUUUGAAAAGGGACCUUUCUGUGAGAUAAUAUAUUACAGGGAGAUAGCAAUGUCUGAAGGCCACGUGUGCGCCGAACAUACCAUGCACGCAUGAAUGAGGGGGUGUACUCCCCCAGAAAAUUUUUGAAAUUUGAAGCACAGAAAUGCCAUUUCCUGCAUUCUGAGCAUCCAAAUGCGCUCCAAAAUGUAUACUAACUAUACUUGUAUUUGAAAUAAAAGAAGGGAAAAAAACACAAAAAGUAAAAAAAUAUUAACCAUAAUUUAUCAUUACUUAUUAGAGGAGGAUCCCAAUGGUCACGUGUGUGGGGGUGUACUUCCCCAGAAAAUUUUUGAAAUUUGAAACACGGAAAUGCAAUUUCCUGCAUUCUGAGCAUCCAAAUUUGCUCUAAAAUUUAUGCUAACUAUACUUGUAUUUGAAAUAAAAGAAGGAAAAAAUGCACAAAAAGUAAAAAAGAAUAUUAACCGUAAUUUAUCAUUAUACUUAUUAGAGGGGGAUACCAAUGGCCGAAGGCCACAUGUGUGGAGGCAUAAUCUCCAGAAAAUUUUUCAAAUUUGAAACCUGGAAAUGCUCUUUCCUGCAUUCUGAGCAACCAAAAAAUAAAAAAUUAUUAACAAUAAUUUAUCAUUACUUAGUGGUAGAAAAACGUAACAAUUUAGAUCGAUUUUGUUAAACAAGGACAAAAGAUAAAGCCUAAAAUUUACUUUCUGUUUAUUUAUUUGUUAUUCUUCGCUG